UAUAUAGGACAGACCAAACUGUGUAGCAAUUACAUUUAUUUUGAUAUAUAUAUUAUUGUAUGUUAUUGCGAUUUAUUAUUAGUGUGUUUGUAUUUAAUGAUUUUUAAGAUUUUUCAAUUUGACUCCUCGUUUUUGAAAAUUAUGCAAAUAAUAAUAUUAACGACCUCAGAGUAGGGGGAAACCCUACCCCCUAAAUUUACAGCAU
rnacentral:rRNA from 1 species